rnacentral:lncRNA from 1 species
CACUUUAUAAUUCAGGACAGAGCAGAAAGUGAACGUCGAGCUGUGUAACGCGAGCUUGUAACCCGAGUGGGGGCGUUAAGGUGUUUGGACAUUGUUCUAGCCCAACUGGCUGGAUUCAGGCUUGCAGAUUACUGGCCUGCCCGUUCCAAGCAAGGAAUUGGGCCGUGUGGUUCAAGCGAAAGCAUGAAUUGCCUGGCUCCUAGAGUGGGGGAGAACGCGUCAGGCUGGUUUCACAGAGCAGCGAUAACCCCCCAUCCCUUGCAGUGGGAGGAUAACGGGCCGGAGCAAUCUGAACCAUCAAAAGUCAGAUGGGCUUGUCCAAAUUGGACAUCCACUUUUUUCAAUUUAUUUCCCUUCGAGUUCAAUUUUAUUUUUAUCAGCCAGUGAAAGCCACCGAAGAGUCUAACGGUUGUGCAACAUCUAUAAUUUAAUUAAUUAGGACCCGAUCAGAAUAAAGUCAUGAUCACAGACACAAUUUGUAGGCUACAAUUACGUAUUUUAGUCACAAAUGGCAUGCUUAAGUUCUCAUACUAUUAGUUAAAAUUCUAAUUUAUAAAAUGUAAAGUAAAAA